rnacentral:rRNA from 1 species
UACGUAGGGCGCAAGCGUUAUCCGGAAUUAUUGGGCGUAAAGAGCUCGUAGGCGGUUUGUCGCGUCUGCCGUGAAAGUCCGGGGCUCAACCUGGGGGCUGCGCUUGAUACUGAUUGGCUUGAAUGCGGGAGAGGAUAGUGGAAUUCCCAGUGUAGAGGUGAAAUUCGUAGAUAUUGGGAAGAACACCGGUGGCGAAGGCGGCUAUCUGGCCCGUAAUUGACGCUGAGGCGCGAAAGCGUGGGGAGCAACAGG